AGUGGUCCUGCAAACGAAUAUUGUUGCAGAAUAAUGGGAGAUUAAGGAGAAAAAGUCUAAGCUUCUCUUCAACUCUUCCCAUCUCUAGAAAGAAGGUGAAUACAGUUAAAGAAGAUAUAUGGAGGAGUGUUAAGUUGAUAAAACCAAUCUUGAGGUAAAAGAUUAAUUAAAUCAGCCAGUAGCAUGUUCCCUACAUAAGUACUAUUGUAGGAUUAUCAACAGAAAGAAGAAGCUUUCUGAGGAUAAAGAACCAGAUUUUUUGAAGAUAAAGAAGAAAAGUCAUCCAGAGAACAAUCAGACUUGUCUGAAGGAAAGGAGACCUGAUACAAGAGUAAACCAACCUGCAGAUCCAAGAUUUAUUAACGUGGAUACUGAGAAACAAGAACCAAACCUGAAGUUCAAGAUAUGUGAAACUUAGAAGAUUGUGAUAAGGCUCACCCCUGACCCCAACUAGAACCUGUACCAGAGCAGAACCUGUCCUGAAAGUAACCUUAGAACCAGAGCCCAGUGUUAACUCUACCUGGAGCUGAACCUGAGAUUAUCCAACCCUGAUUUAUACCUGAAAAUAAACCUCCUCCGGAGUAGAACCUGAACCUGGAGUUAGCUGAAAGCCCUACCUGGAGCUAAACCAGUCAAAACUAAUCCAAGAUCUAAACCAACAUCAGAUCUUAAUAAGGUUAGAAGGAGUACAAUUUAUUAAAAAGAAACUUUUGAUAAAGAGUUUAAAGAUUACUAAAGAGAAACUGUUUAGGAUUAAUUCUAUAUGAAACUCCUAAGAUGUAAAGAUAUCCAGGAGCUUAGCAAGAUAACCUUGAGCACAGCAAUCCUGAAAUCUUCAAGCUAUUCAAAACCAUUGGAGAAUAAUUUGGCAAAAAUAAGCAAGAUCUAGAAGAGCAUUUAAACACCUCAAAGCUCGCAUCAGAUUUUUCACCGUGUUGAGAGAUGAAAAUAAACUCUAAACCUACAUCUUCUUUCAAAACGUGUGCAUAAAAGAUUCCAAAGAGUGUGUUUUACAAGACCCCUACUUUU